AAACCAUGGGGUGGACAUUUCAUAGUCAACUCUUUAAACCUCUCCCAGCUUUCAAAGAAUUUCUCAUCCUCAUUCUGACUAAAACCGCUGAUCUCUCAACGGAAUUC